rnacentral:rRNA from 1 species
UACGUAGGUGGCAAGCGUUGUCCGGAUUUACUGGGCGUAAAGGGCGUGCAGGCGGUCUGUUAAGUGCAGGGUGAAAGCUCCCGGCUCAACUGGGAGAGGUCCUUGCAUACUGGCGGACUUGAGGGGGGUAGAGGAAAGUGGAAUUCCCGGUGUAGAGGUGAAAUUCGUAGAUAUUGGGAAGAACACCGGUGGCGAAGGCGGCUCUCUGGGACGGUACUGACGCUGAGACGCGAAAGCGUGGGGAGCGAACAGG